AAGUCGUAACAAGGUCUCCGUUGGUGAACCAGCGGAGGGAUCAUUACAGAGUUGCAAAACUCCCUAAACCAUCGUGAACCUACCGCUAAACAGUUGCUUCGGCGGGUGGCGGGCGUGCCCCCCCAGGGGGGAAAGCCCCGCCGCCGAGCCCGCCGGAGGAAAACCAAAACUCUUGUUUUUACUACCGGCCUCUCUGAGUAUACUUACUUAAAAUAAGUCAAAACUUUCAACAACGGAUCUCUUGGUUCUG
rnacentral:misc_RNA from 1 species